rnacentral:rRNA from 1 species
GGGAAACUUGCCUCGAGAUGAGUCUUCCCUGUCGCUUUAAGCGACCUAAAGGAACGUUUAAGAAUAAGACGUUGAUAUGCUGGGUGUGUAAGCGUAGCGAUACGUUGAGCUAACCAGUACUAAUGAACCGUGAGGCUUAACCUG